UUCUGGGGUCCGCUCAGGGGUCCGAGGAGUCUAGCACCAGCCUUCAUCCCCCUCGCCUCAUCUCGUGCUAAGUAGUCUUGGGAGGAAGCCUGGUUCGCCGGGGUUAUGUGUAGAUUCAUUCACAUCCAAGGCUGUUGAGGCAUUCUGUGGGUGGAGUCAUUCAUCCAGCACGCACGUUGGGCUUCUGCUCCGUGGAGGUGCCACGGGAGGCUGGCUGUGCCGUGGACACUGACAGGGGAGCAGGUCCUCCUGGGUGUCUGUGUGAACACACCCACGAUGAUGAACAGGUGUCACAGCCUUUCGGAAAGGGAACAUAAAAGUCACUGGAAAGUUCCGGCUCCUGCCACCUUCGGGCCUCUUUUGAGGCUCCACGCACGACUCAUUUGUCACCAGAGGUCUCUGCCUCCGUGCUGGCACCGGGAGGGACAGACUGGGGGCUGCCUUUAGGAUUCUGUUAUCAAGAGGAAGUAAAUGUGUCCCCUGUGUCAGGAGGAGUGAGAUUUCCUGGGCAUGGAGUAAGAGGUCCGAGGGCGCGGGAGGAGUCAGAGAACAAAAGGCACUUCUUCAAGCCUCAGGCUCAGUCCUUAUCUGCAGCCUCCAAGUGUUCCCUCGGUGGCAGUACCUUUGGUACCCUCCCCAUCUGAGGGUGGAGACGGUGAUGGACAGCAGCCUCUGGUCUCUGCAGCUGCCGCAUGGGAGGUGCCUUCUAGAAGGGUGAAGAGUCAUUCUUUCUAGGGAUGAGGUUCAGGGUGGGGUGCAGGGGCUUGAAGGUUUCGGGUAAGAUUGAGGACCCUUCACCAAGUGGCCUUGGGCCUCUGGAAGUCACUUAUGCCUCUGGGCCUUGCUUUUAUCACCAGUAAAAUGAGCAAGUAGCACAUUUGUCCUGAUAGAGUUGAUCUGAAGAACAAUGGACCUGUGCACGACGCUUUGAAUUGGGCAGGAAGAACCCUCUAGAGCCUCGCUGGAGCAGAUUCGUGUCUCCGGCUCUUACCCAAUCACAUCCUGGCACAUAGACAGCUCUUGGACUCCAAAGGAUGAUGCUCAUGUGGUGAUGAGGCUUGGCAGUUAGCCAGGCGCUCUCUCCCCGGGGAGCAGGCGCUGGCCUUCGCAGACCUACAGCCCCCAUCUGGAGUCUACGACACCUGCCUUCAUGGAGGGGCUGGAGCUGAGCCUCAGAGAAGCUGCCCGUGUUCCGUUUGCAGCCCUGAAUGCACCGCUUUGUAAAGUUCAGCAAGUCCAGGGGCCAAUCCUACAAUCUUGUCCUGAGUCUUGUGCCUGGAGCAUUUUGCCCCACAUCAUUACGCCCAUCCCGCCAGCCUUAGAUGAAAGCAGAGGAGAGAGAAAGAGACACCAGUUAAACAUAGUAGAGCCUCUCUGGUCCAACCUCCUACCUCAGGCUCUGGAAUCAGCACAUUCGUUGGUUCGUGAAACGUUCUUCACGCACAACGGUGGAGAAGAUAUUCGCAGACUCCGUUUGUGAGAUCUUAAAGGGAACAGCAUCUUGAAGGGCGUCACUGCUUUGGCUUUGCAAAAAAAGUCUAAUAAAAAUAGCAUGAUGUCUUUCUUAUUUUAAGUCUACACUUGUGACUUGUAGAUAUUCAAAAAACAAGGCUAUCCCUUUUUUCUUUAAACAAAAAUGUUCAUGGAACUUCGGUAGAUAAAAGAGGCAAAAACGAGUUAUUCUGAUUGUGGUGGGAGCAGCACACCCAUCCCCCCACCCCCACCCCCGACAUCCGAGGCAGCUCCUAGAGCCAGAUUUCCAGCCUGCUGUUAGAAAUAACGGGGCCCCAGCACCCCGUGUGCUUUAGGUAGGAGCUUUCCAGAAGCUCAGGACUUCCCCUAAGAGUUCACAGCCCAAUUUAUUCAUUAAACAACAACAACAACAACGUUUACUGAGCACCCGGCAUGUG